CACCUCUAGCAUUACAAGUAUUAGAGGCACUGCCUGCCCAGUGACUAAAGUUUAACGGCCGCGGUAUCCUGACCGUGCAAAGGUAGCAUAAUCACUUGUUCCUUAAUUAGGGACUAGAAUGAAAGGCCAAACGAGGGUUUAACUGUCUCUUAUUUCUAAUCAGUGAAAUUGACCUUUCCGUGAAGAGGCGGAAAUAUUUAUAUAAGACGAGAAGACCCUAUGGAGCUUUAAUCUUUAACCUAAUAUUAACACCACUAUUAACCAAAUGGACUUAAAACUUAAUAUAUAGGCCUAAGAUUUCGGUUGGGGUGACCUCGGAGAAUAAAUAAACCUCCGAAAGAUUAUAACCAAGACAAACAAGUCAAAGUAAUUAUAAUCCAAUUGACCCAAUAUUUGAUCAACGGACCAAGUUACCCUAGGGAUAACAGCGCAAUCCUAUUCAAGAGUUCAUAUCGACAAUUAGGGUUUACGACCUCGAUGUUGGAUCAGGACAUCCUAAUGGUGCAGAAGCUAUUAAGGGUUCGUUUGUUCAACGAUUAAAGUCCU
rnacentral:rRNA from 1 species